rnacentral:rRNA from 1 species
GAGCUCAAAUUUGAAAGCUGGCGUCUUCGGCGUCCGCGUUGUAAUCUCGAGAAGUGUUUUCCGUGCUGGACCAUGUACAAGUUCCUUGGAAUAGGACGUCAUAGAGGGUGAAAAUCCCGUACUUGAUGUGGCCGCCCAGUGCUUUGUGAUACACUUUCCAUGAGUCGAGUUGUUUGGGAAUGCAGCUCAAAAUGGGUGGUAAAUUCCAUCUAAAGCUAAAUAUUGGGGAGAGACCGAUAGCGAACAAGUACCGUGAGGGAAAGAUGAAAAGCACUUUGGAAAGAGAGUUAAAUAGUACGUGAAAUUGUCGAAAGGGAAGCGCUUGAAGUUAGACAUGCUAGUUGGAAUUCAGCCUUGCUUUUGCUUGGUGCAUUUUCCGGUUAGCAGGCCAGCAUCAGUUUUGCCUGUCGGAUAAGGGUAGGAGGAAUGUGGCCCCUCGGGGUGUUAUAGCCUCUUACUGGAUACGACGGGUGGGACUGAGGACAGCAGUGCGCCUUUAUGGCGGGCCUUCGGGCACCUUCGCACUUAGGAUGCUGGCGUAAUGGCUUUAAGCGACCCGUCUU